GGCGGCAGGCGCCAUGUCUGGCCGCGAAGGUAAGUGUUCCGGAACCGUGAGGACUGCGGGGACGGCGGGGUGGGGACCGGGCGGCAGGGGCAGGCCGAACGUGCUCGUGUCGCCCACAGGUGGCAAGAAGAAGCCACUGAAACAGCCCAAGAAGCAGGCCAAGGAGAUGGACGAGGAAGAUAAGGCUUUCAAGCAGAAACAAAAAGAGGAGCAGAAGAAACUCGAGGAGCUAAAAGCGAAGGCCGCGGGGAAGGGGCCCUUGGCCACAGGUGGAAUUAAGAAAUCUGGCAAAAAGUAAGCUGUUCCUUGUGCCUGAGGAGAUGGUGACCCUUUAUUUCAUCUGUAUUUAAACCUCUCUAUUCCCUGCCAUAACAUCUUUUGCCACGUAUAGCUGGAAUUAAGUGUUGUCUUGGAGCUGUUGUACAUUUAAGAAUAAACUUUUGUAAAAAAAAAAAAAAAAAAUCUUACAGUGGCUCAUCAUCUCUUUAGUUGUUUUCACUAAGUCAUUCCUACCAUAACUGUGAAUUUAAAGUAAAACCAGCUCAGAAUCUUGCCAGAGUCUGUUCUUUGGUCCUUGUUCUACCCUAAACUUUGUAUCACCUGAAAUUAAACCAACUCAUUUGA
rnacentral:sRNA from 1 species